rnacentral:lncRNA from 1 species
AGUGAACAUUUUCUGCGUGCCUAUUGUGUGCCAGUCAUGGUACCACACGCUGGGAAUCCAAUGGGGAGUAAGAGAAAGUCCCUUUUCAAGGAGCUUACAGUGCAGUGGAAGAGAGAAAGUUAAAAGAGAAAUAAAAAAAGAAUUGGAAAGCCAAUGUCCAAUUAUUUACUAAAACAGAAUCCACUGGAGAGAAAUGCAAAGGCAGGUAAAAAGGCAAUCUCUUAACAUGAAAACUCACAACUGUAAAAUGAGAACCUAAACUAUACAGCGACAAACUCAGGAAAAAGUCUCCAGCUACUGCUGUCUCUCAGACUCUCACAGUAUGUGUAACCACUUCCUCCUCUGCACGGAAUCACCCCAGAAGAUCAACUCUACUAGAUCAUUUGAGGACAAUGAACAAAGUCUCAAGACUGAAUUCCCACAGAAAACAUUCUCAUGAAACCACCCAAUAUUCUGGUGAAGUUAAAGAAGGGCAUGUGUUCGGAGACAACCAGAAGCAGCAAUGCUCAAAACCACAAAACUCUGGAUUGCCGACUCUGCACAUCCUGGUUCCUCUAGAUACAGUUCAGUGGCACAUUCACAAAUAAACGUUUUCAAAAACUGCCCUCAGGCAGUUCUAGAGAAAUGCUUUGACUUGCCUAAUGGUAUAAUGUCAAGAAAGGAAGACGAGCACUGAUCAUUCAUACUCAUUAUUACAGUCACAGG